AACUUUCCAGAGAUGGAUUGGUGCCUUCGGGAACAUUGAGACAGGUGCUGCAUGGCUGUCGUCAGCUCGUGUCGUGAGAUGUUGGGUUAAGUCCCGUAACGAGCGCAACCCUUGUCCUUAGUUACCAGCACGUUAUGGUGGGCACUCUAAGGAGACUGCCGGUGACAAAACGGAGGAAGGGGGGAUGACGUCAAGUCAUCAUGCCCUUACGACCUGGGCUACACACGUGCUACAAUGGUCGGUACAGAGGGUUGCCAAACCGCGAGGUGGAGCUAAUCUCACAAAACCGAUCGUAGUCCGGAUCGCAGUCUGCAACUCGACUGCGUGAAGUCGGAAUCGCUAGUAAUCGCGAAUCAGAAUGUCGCGGUGAAUACGUUCCCGGGCCUUGUACACACCGCCCGUCACACCAUGGGAGUGGGUUGCACCAGAAGUAGCUAGUCUAACCUUCGGGGGGACGGUUACACGGUGUGAUUCAUGACU
rnacentral:rRNA from 1 species